UAUCUCUGUAGAGUCUGCAUAUCAAUAAGCGGAGGAAAAGAAACUAACUAAGGAUUCCCUUAGUAACGGCGAGUGAAGCGGGAAGAGCUCAAAUUUGAAAUCUUCAAGGUUCUACCUUGACGAAUUGUAGUUUAAAGAAGUGUUUUCUGUUGAAGUUUCGGUAAAAGUUCUUUGGAAUAGGACAUCAUAGAGGGUGAGAAUCCCGUAUUUGACCGUUAUUUUCAGCUGUGUGAUACACUUUCAAAGAGUCGGAUUGUUUGGGAAUGCAGUCCAAAAUGGGUGGUAAAUUUCAUCUAAAGCUAAAUACUGGCGAGAGACCGAUAGCGAACAAGUACCGUGAGGGAAAGAUGAAAAGAACUUUGAAAAGAGAGUUAAACAGUACGUGAAAUUGUCAAAAGGGAAGCGUUUGACACCAGUGUUGUUUUCUCGAAAAUCAAUUAAAAAUGGUGGAUUUUGUGUUGUAUUGACCUUAAUCAGCUUUCUUCACUCUUUUCCUAGUCUUUUUAAUGCACUUUUCGUUUAACAAGUCAACAUCAGUUUCUUUUGUUGUAAAAGAGUCAUUGGAAGGUGGCUUUCUUUUCGGAGAAAGUGUUUAUAGCCUUUGACUUCUGCAAUCGGAGAGAUUGAGGUCUGCAGCGUAGAUCCUUCUGGAUUAGAUUCAUUUGUGCUAAGUUAUAGCCUUUUCAUAGACAACUUGUUGACUAUGAUUCAGUCAUGUAGCUUACUCGCUUAUGUCAUUUUACCUACGCUUAGGAUGUUGAUCUCUCACAGUCGAGC
rnacentral:rRNA from 1 species